rnacentral:snRNA from 1 species
GUGCUUGCUUCAGCAGCACAGACACUAAAAUUAGAACAAUACGGAGAUUAGCGUGUCUCCUGCAUAAGGAUGACCCCAAAAUUGCUACUUGAAUUAGUCCUUU